UAGAACCACUAGGGGAGUCCUUUGACUGAGAAAAGCCUUGCUUUGACCCUUUGAACCUGAUCUGGUUAAUACCAGCGUAGGGAAGUGGAGUAGCUACUCU
rfam:Bacillus sp. JCM 19045 DNA, contig: contig00004.